UUAAAGGAUUUUAUAGAAUCCAAUAAUACCAUCAUUAACAAUAUUU
rfam:Ictidomys tridecemlineatus contig094874, whole genome shotgun sequence.